GUCAAAGCUUCACCUCACCUCUUCCCUUAAUUCCACUACACCAUCAAAAUCCAACAUCACUACUAAGCCAUUUUAUAUCUAUAUAGAAGAAUUAAUGUUAGGACUAGUAACAAAGAAGACUUCUCUUUUAUAUAAGUUUAGAUCAGCUCGAAUACCUCCCUGAUAAUUAUCCAACCUUGAAUCUAUAGUAGUACCCCUUAAUUUUAAAAACCCUACUAAAAUAAUUGUUAAUCAGACAUAUGAAUAUAAAAGAAAGAUAUAAAAAUUAAGAAGGAACUCGGCAAACACAAAUCCCGCCUGUUUACCAAAAACAUCGCCUUUUGAAUUAUAUAAAAGGUAACGCCUGCCCAGUGACCCUGUGUUAAACGGCCGCGGUAUCCUGACCGCGCAAAGGUAGCGUAAUCAUUUGUCUUUUAAAUGAAGACUUGUAUGAAAGGCAUUACGAGGACUUAACUGUCUCCUUAAUUUAAUCAGUGAAACUGAUCUUCCCGUAAAAAAGCGGGAAUAAAACCAUUAGACGAGAAGACCCUAUGGAGCUUAAAACCUCAAGCUACUUGUCUAACUUUCUCACAGAAUAUUAUUAAUAAACAAGCCUAGUCUAAGUUUUCUGUUGGGGUGACUGUGGAGAAAAACUAAUCCUCCAUGAAGAAUAGACUUAGAGCUACCGCUCUUAGUAUUAGUAAACCUAACUUUAAUUGACCCAAUCUUUGAUCAACGGACUAAGUUACCCUAGGGAUAACAGCGCCAUCCAUUUCAAGAGUCCAUAUCGACAAAUGGGUUUACGACCUCGAUGUUGGAUUAGGACACCCCAGUGGUGUAGCCGCUACUAAAGGUUCGUUUGUU
rnacentral:rRNA from 1 species